rnacentral:rRNA from 1 species
GCUCAGGAUAAACGCUGGCGGCGUGCCUAACACAUGCAAGUCGAACGAAGAGGCUCCUUCGGGAGUACUUCAGUGGCGGACGGGUGAGUAACACGUAGGUGACCUACCCCAAAGCGGGGGAUAACAGUCCGAAAGGAUUGCUAAUACCCCAUGUGGUCGACGAGGUUCGAGUCUUGGCGACUAAAGGAGCAAUCCGCUUUGGGAGGGGCCUGCGCCCCAUCAGCUAGUUGGUAGGGUAAUGGCCUACCAAGGCAACAACGGGUAGGGGGCCUGAGAGGGUGACCCCCCACAUUGGCACUGACACACGGGCCAAACUCCUACGGGAGGCAGCAGUGAGGAAUAUUGCUCAAUGGGCGAAAGCCUGAAGCAGCAACGCCGCGUGCGCGAUGAAGGCCUUCGGGUCGUAAAGCGCUUUUGAGAGGGACGAGACAGGACGGUACCUCUUGAAUAAGUCACGGCUAACUACGUGCCAGCAGCCGCGGUAAAACGUAGGUGGCAAGCGUUAUCCGGAUUCACUGGGCGUAAAGCGCGUGCAGGUGGCUCUGUAAGUUGGAUGUGAAAUUUCCCGGCUUAACCGGGAAGGGUCAUUCAAUACUGCGGGGCUUGAGGGCAGAAGAGGGGGGUGGAAUUGCCGGUGUAGUGGUGAAAUGCGUAGAUAUCGGCAGGAACACCUGUGGCGAAAGCGGCCCCCUGGUCUGCUCCUGACACUCAGACGCGAAAGCUAGGGGAGCGAACGGGAUUAGAAACCCCGGUAGUCCUAGCCGUAAACGAUGGAUGCUAGGUGUAGGUGGUAUUGACCCCAUCUGUGCCGAAGCCAACGCGUUAAGCAUCCCGCCUGGGGACUACGGCCGGCAGGUUAAA